rnacentral:rRNA from 1 species
UACGUAGGGUGCAAGCGUUUAUCCGGAAUUAUUGGGCGUAAAGAGCUCGUAGGCGGUUUGUCGCGUCUGCUGUGAAAACUGGAGGCUCAACCUCCAGCCUGCAGUGGGUACGGGCAGACUAGAGUGCGGUAGGGGAGAUUGGAAUUCCUGGUGUAGCGGUGGAAUGCGCAGAUAUCAGGAGGAACACCGAUGGCGAAGGCAGAUCUCUGGGCCGUAACUGACGCUGAGGAGCGAAAGCAUGGGGAGCGAACAAG